CCUACGGGUGGCAGCAGUGGGGAAUAUUGGGCAAUGGGCGCAAGCCUGACCCAGCAACGCCGCGUGAAGGAAGAAGGCUUUCGGGUUGUAAACUUCUUUUCUCAGGGACGAAGAAAGUGACGGUACCUGAAGAAUAAGCCACUGCUAACUACGUGCCAGCAGCCGCGGUAAGACGUAGGGGGCAAGCGUUAGCCGGAUUUACUGGGUGUAAAGGGGGUGUAGGCGGGACUGCAAGUCAGAUGUGAAAACCACGGGCUCAACCUGUGGCCUGCAUUUGAAACUGUAGUUCUGGAGUGCUGGAGAGGCAGGCGGAAUUCCUAGUGUAGCGGUGAAAUGCGUAGAUAUUAGGAGGAACACCAGUGGCGAAGGCGGUUUGCUGGACAGCAACUGACGCUGAGGCGCGAAAGCGUGGGGAGCAAACAGGAUUAGAUACCCGAGUAGUC
rnacentral:rRNA from 1 species